rnacentral:miRNA from 1 species
CACCUCAUUGACUGGAAGGAAUACCUUCCGGUUGAUGAGGCUGUUACACCUCAUUGACCGGAAGGAAUCCCUUCUGGUUGAUGAGGUU